CAGUAGCCGCGGUAAUACAGAGGAUGCAAGCGUUAUCCGGAAUGAUUGGGCGUAAAGCGUCUGUAGGUGGCUUUUCAAGUCCGCCGUCAAAUCCCAGGGCUCAACCCUGGACAGGCGGUGGAAACUACCAAGCUAGAGUACGGUAGGGGCAGAGGGAAUUUCCGGUGGAGCGGUGAAAUGCGUUGAGAUUGAAAAGAACACCAACGACGAAAGCACUCUGCUGGGUCGCCACUGUCACUGAGAGACGAAAGCUAGGGGAGCAAAUGGGGUUAGAUACCCCCGUAGUCCCUGUCUCUUAUAC
rnacentral:rRNA from 1 species